CGCGUGUGUGAAGAAGGCCUUCGGGUUGUAAAGCACUUUCAGUUGUGAGGAAAGUUUAGUAGUUAAUACCUGCUAGAUGUGACGUUAGCAACAGAAGAAGCACCGGCUAACUCCGUGCCAGCAGCCGCGGUAAUACGGAGGGUGCGAGCGUUAAUCGGAAUUACUGGGCGUAAAGCGCACGCAGGCGGUCUGUUAAGCUAGAUGUGAAAGCCCCGCGCUCAACGUGGGAGGGUCAUUUAGAACUGGCAGACUAGAGUCUUGGAGAGGGGAGUGGAAUUCCAGGUGUAGCGGUGAAAUGCGUAGAGAUCUGGAGGAACAUCAAUGGCGAAGGCAACUCCCUGGCCAAAGACUGACGCUCAUGUGCGAAAGUGUGGGUAGCGAACAGGAUUAGAUACCCUGGUAGUCCACACCGUAAACGCUGUCUACUAGCUGUUUGUGAAUUUAAUUCGUGAGUAGCGAAGCUAACGCGAUAAGUAGACCGCCUGGGGAGUACGGCCGCAAGGUUAAAACUCAAAUGAAUUGACGGGGGCCCGCACAAGCGGUGGAGCAUGUGGUUUAAUUCGAUGCAACGCGAAGAACCUUACCUACUCUUGACAUACUAGAAACUUUUCAGAGAUGAAUUGGUGCCUUCGGGAAUCUAGAUACAGGUGCUGCAUGGCUGUCGUCAGCUCGUGUCGUGAGAUGUUGGGUUAAGUCCCGCAACGAGCGCAACCCUUGUCCUUAGUUGCCAGCCUUAAGUUGG
rnacentral:rRNA from 1 species